UACGUAGGGGGCAAGCGUUGUCCGGAAUCAUUGGGCGUAAAGCGCGCGUAGGCGGCCCGGUAAGUCCGCUGUAAAAGUCCAGGGCUCAACCCUGGAAAGCCGGUGGAUACUGUCGGGCUAGAGUCCGGAAGAGGCGAGUGGAAUUCCUGGUGUAGCGGUGGAAUGCGCAGAUAUCAGGAGGAACACCGAUAGCGAAGGCAGCUCGCUGGGACGUAACUGACGCUGAGACGCGAAAGCGUGGGGAGCAAACAGGG
rnacentral:rRNA from 1 species